GACGAACCGUGCGAACGUUGUUCGGAAUCACUGGGCUUAAAGGGCGCGUAGGCGGGCGACCAAGUCCGGGGUGAAAGCUCCCGGCUCAACCGGGAAAGUGCCUUGGAUACUGGUCGUCUUGAGGGAGAUAGGGGCGAGUGGAACUUCCGGUGGAGCGGUGAAAUGCGCAGAUAUCAGGAGGAACACCAACGGCGAAGGCAGCUCGCUGGGACGGUACUGACGCUGAGGCGCGAAAGCGUGGGGAGCAAACAGG
rnacentral:rRNA from 1 species